GAGCCAGAGAAGCAGAGACAGGUAAAGACAAUCAGCAGGGGAUGAAGAUGUCAAACACGGCCAAAGAAGAACUGUAAUGACAACCUAGAGGACUUCCUAAGUCUCUCAGGACUCUUCCAGGCAGUUGGAACUUGAGGGAUUUCAACAACUUCUUUGCUGCCUAGACCUUGAGUAAAAUUAAAGGUCAUUCCUGAGCAAGUCUUCAAAAUCUGACCACCCAAGAUAUUAUACCUCUUGGAUUUACUCUUCCAAAUACUAUGGAAACAUAACUGAAACCAUGAGUCGCAGCUUUUUGAGAAGGAUUUACAACAGAGGCUUCUGGCAGUGAGAAUAUAGAAUCUUACCCAGCAUUUGCUCUGAGCUUUGGACAGGGAGGUAUGUUUAUAACUACAAUUGGAGAAAACUACAGUUAGAGAGAAAUAGUAAGUGCAUUAGUAACUUUUAUAAGUUAUUAACAAGCAGAGCCG
rnacentral:lncRNA from 1 species